rnacentral:rRNA from 1 species
UACGGGGGGGGCAAGCGUUGUUCGGAAUUACUGGGCGUAAAGGGCUCGUAGGUGGCCAACUAAGUCAGACGUGAAAUCCCUCGGCUUAACCGGGGAACUGCGUCUGAUACUGGAUGGCUUGAGUUCGGGAGAGGGAUGCGGAAUUCCAGGUGUAGCGGUGAAAUGCGUAGAUAUCUGGAGGAACACCGGUGGCGAAGGCGGUUCUCUGGAACGCAACUGACGCUGAGACGCGAAAGCGUGGGGAGCAAACAGG